GUCUUUUUGAGUUAUUUUUAAAGUCUAACCUGCCCACUGAAUAAUUUUUAAAUGGCCGCAGUAUUCUAACUGUGCAAAGGUAGCAUAAUCAUUAGUCUUUUAAUUGAAGGCUGGUAUGAACGGUUGGACGAAGUAUAAGCUGUUUCAUAUAAAUUUACAUUAGAAUUUUAUAUUUUAGUUAAAAAGCUAAAAUUUUAUUAAAAGACGAGAAGACCCUAUAAAUCUUUAUAUUUAUUUUUAUUUAAAUUUUUUUGAUUAAUUUUAUUUUUAUAAUUUUAAGUAUUUUGUUGGGGUGAUAUUAAAAUUUGACAAACUUUUAAUUAUUUAUUAAAUCAUUAAUUUAUGUAUAAUUGAUCCAUUAUUAGUGAUUAUAAUAUUAAGUUACUUUAGGGAUAACAGCGUAAUUUUUUUUGAGAGUUCAUAUCGAUAAAAAAGUUUGCGACCUCGAUGUUGGAUUAAGAUAAAUUUUUAGGUGUAGCCGCUUAAAUAUAAAGUCUGUUCGACUUUUAAAUUCUUACAU
rnacentral:rRNA from 1 species